UUGGCCUCCUCUUCUUCUACUCUUUGCGUGUAAGAACAAAGAGAAAGCAAAACUCACUAGGCACUUUCACUCGUGAUUUAGGAUGAUUUAGAGUUGGAUUUUGAAUAUGCUGAAGUUGAAGAAAAGAUAGACGAAGAUAUUAUUUCAUCACUUUUUGGAGUCAUUUAGAGCUUCAGGAGUAGGAUUUGUGUAGUGAAGUGAACUACGAAGUUGAAGAUCAAGGUUAAAUAAUUCAUCUUAGUAGCAAAUAAGGAGGAGAUGUGACUGAAGAAAUUGUGUUUCCGUCUUCGCUGUCCCUUUUAAGGUGAUGACCACAUACAUGCACAUGCUAUUUUCAUACUUUUAGUAGCAGAAAGAAAAAUCCAUGUAUAAUAUUUAUGUUCAUGUGAUAAUAGAUUGACUCUGUUCAUAUAGUACUGGUGACGGAUAUUUAUUCGAAUUAUUUUGACGCUUAAUUGCAUUCGCAAGCACAUCCAUAUUGGAGCUAAGGUACUAUGGAAAAUUUAGUAGUGUACUAUGGGAAUGUCUUACGCGACGGUCCUUUCGGGGUGGAUGUGUCCUUGUGCGAGUCGACUACAGUUGUAGUGAGAGACAUCACCAAUGUGGGUUACGCAGCAGUCAGAAGGUGCAUCCGAGCAGUGUUUGGCCCAGGGAUGCAGGGAAAAAAAUGACAAUGGAGGCCUUCGUCGUUGACGGAGGAACUGAUGGGACAGUUGCCCGUUGGGGAUUGCAGCCUGUCACAGGUGAUCGGUCGUGGGGGUCGUACAUGAGGUUUGCAAGCAAUCCCAAUAACUCAAUAUAUGGUCAGCCGAUGGUGUAUGUGGAGUUCAUUUCAGUCACUGAUGUUGCUGGAUGCAGUAGCAGGGGUGGUGAGGUCGAGUUGGCCAUCACAUCAGCCCUUAGCGUCGGCCCAUCGGAACCGACAGGCGGCCAGCCUGUGUAUGACACUGGAUAUUGGUUUGCGGCCGUUGACAUGAGAGAUUGCCGGAGGCGCUAGAUGAUGAUGAUCAUUCUUCUGCGUCUUCGGAGUCAAGCGAAGAAGAAGAUGUUCCUCCUCAGAGGGCGAUCGCGGUGGCACUGCAACCUGGGUUUUUACAGGAUAUGAGCAUCACCAAUGAAUUUCACUCUGUUUCUGGCCUAGGAGCGGGGAGCCUGGAGGUUGGGCAAGUUUUCCCAGACAAGAAGUCUGCUUACCAGGCAAUGAGUAGCUAUGCAAUCGCCAUCCAUUGCCAGCAUAGAGUGAAGUAGUCUGAUAAAACGGAGUUGAAGGUCAUAUGCAUCCACGCCGCGAAAGGUUGCCGCCAAAGAGUUCUUGCUAGACUGAAGCCUAGGGUAUGUCAGUCAUGGCAUAUCACAAAAAUAGUGGAGCAUAGCUAUGAGCAAACUGGGCUCUUUCAAAUCACUGCAUUGUGACAGCAAGAUAUGUGGCACAGAUGAUGAAAACGAUUGUGCAGGGAAGUCUCAACAUUAGUGUUAGGGCUCUGCAAAAAGAUGCAGAAGAUCAAAUUCGCUUCCCUGUCAGCUACAACAAGUCUAGGUGUGCGAAGGAAAAUAUAUUCAAGAACUUGUAUGGUACCUAUAACGAGGCCUAUUCUUAUGCACCCAGAAUGCUUCAUCACAUAGCAAGUGCUAAUAGGGGGACUCAAGUUUGGCGGAGAGAACAUGCAAACCCAAUGAACUCGGGUGAGCUAAUCCUGGACCGCUUAUUCUGGGCAUUCGCCCAGACUAAACAAGCCUUCAGGCACUAUCGCCCGGUACUAUCAGUUGAUGGUACCUUUCUCACUAGAAAGUACAAGGGCACACUAUUGGUGGCGAUUGCAGCGGAUGCAACUAAUCAACUUCUUCCUAUUUCAUAUGCACUGGUCGAGAGCGAGAACAAAGAUAGCUGGUUGUGGUUCCUGAGCUGCGUGAAGAUGGGUGUCGUGAAAGAGCGUGAAGGUGUUUGCAUCAUCUCUGAUCGCAAACUGGCUUAUUAAGCGCUCUUGACAUAAUUAAGGCGUCGGAACAAGAGUGGGGCUGGCCCGAUCUAGAGGGAAGGUGGUGCAUGAGUCAUUUGGCAGCAAACUUUUACUCCAAAUUCAAAAACAAGGAUUGGUUCAAGUUAUUCAAGAGGAUGUGCAUGCAAAAAAACUGAAGCCAAAAUGAAUGCGAUCUGGGCGGGUAUCAAUGGUGAGAUCGACCGCGCGGCCUUACCACAGAGAGAAGACCGGAGGGGUCGUAGGACGCCCAUAAAUUAGAGCUAGUGGAUCCGCGAGAAUUGUCCUUAUUUGGACAAGUGGGCGCAGGCUCACGACACCGGGGCUCGGUAUGGAAUAAUGACCAGCAACAUGUCAGAGGUGUACAAUGGUGUUCUUAAAGGGGUGCGAGCACGACCUAUCACAGCCCUAAUUGAAGUAACUUGGAACCGGACCCUAUCAUACUUUGCAGACAAGGUCACCGUCGCCAAAGCACAAGUUGAAUUGAACAAGCCAUGGUCCGAGAAGAUGCAAGGACAUCUGGACGAGAAAGCAAAGAAGUUCCAAAGUCAUGGCUGCAGGAAAGUGGACACACUUAGGAAUAAGUGGGAGGUCAAUGUGCGAGCCAAGUACGUUAAGGGUCACCACAGAGGAUCAAAAAAGCAAGCUGUCACCCUCGGCCCAACGUCCUGUGAAUGAACUUGUAACAAGCCCAAGCUUGAGGGCUACCCUUGCAGUCAUGUGCUCCGGGCGGCUGCUGAUCAAAAAAAUCAGUGUCGAGCCAUACAUAUCGCCGUUCUUCAACAUGUACAAUCUGUAAAACACUUGGAACGGUGAGUUCUGGGCUUGGGGCAUUGAUA